rnacentral:rRNA from 1 species
CCUACGGGCGGUAGCAGUGAGGAAUAUUGGUCAAUGGACGCAAGUCUGAACCAGCCAUGCCGCGUGCAGGAAGAAGGCGCUAAGAGUUGUAAACUUCUUUUGUCCGAGGGUAAACUCAGAUACGCGUACCUGUCUGAAAGUAUCUUACGAAUAAGGAUCGGCUAACUCCGUGCCAGCAGCCGCGGUAAUACGGAGGAUUCAAGCGUUAUCCGGCUUUAUUGGGUUUAAAGGGUGCGUAGGCGGUCGGAUAAGUUAGAGGUGAAAUCCCGAGGCUCAACUUCGGCAUUGCCUCUGAUACUGUUCGUCUAGAGAGUAGUAGCGGUAGGCGGAAUGUAUGGUGUAGCGGUGAAAUGCUUAGAGA